rnacentral:rRNA from 1 species
UACGUAGGGAGCAAGCGUUGUCCGGAAUCAUUGGGCGUAAAGCGCGCGUAGGUGGCCUCAUAAGUCCGCUGUGAAAGUCAAAGGCUCAACCUUUGAAAGCCGGUGGAUACUGUGAGGCUAGAGUACGGAAGAGGCGAGUGGAAUUCCUGGUGUAGCGGUGGAAUGCGCAGAUAUCAGGAAGAACACCGAUGGCGAAGGCAGCUCUCUGGGACGGUACUGACGCUGAGACGCGAAAGCGUGGGGAGCGAACAGG